GGGAAUCUUGCACAAUGGAGGAAACUCUGAUGCAGCGACGCCGCGUGAGCGAUGAAGCCCUUCGGGGUGUAAAGCUCUUUCGGCAGGGACGAUAAUGACGGUACCUGAAGAAGAAGCUGCGGCUAACUACGUGCCAGCAGCCGCGGUAAUACGUAGGCAGCGAGCGUUGUUCGGAAUUACUGGGCGUAAAGAGUGUGUAGGCGGUGCUCUAAGUUCGGUGUGAAAUCUCCUGGCUUAACUGGGAGGGUGCGCCGGAAACUGGAGUGCUCGAGCGUGGGAGAGGAAAGCGGAAUUCCUGGUGUAGCGGUGAAAUGCGUAGAUAUCAGGAGGAACACCUGUGGUGUAGACGGCUUUCUGGACCAUUGCUGACGCUGAGACACGAAAGCGUGGGUAGCAAA
rnacentral:rRNA from 1 species